rnacentral:rRNA from 1 species
GAUGAACGCUGGCGGCGUGCCUAAUACAUGUAAGUCGAGCGAACAGACGAGGAGCUUGCUCCUCUGACGUUAGCGUCGGACGGGUGAGUAACACGUGGAUAACCUACCUAUAAGACUGGGAUAACUUCGGGAAACCGGAGCUAAUACCGGAUAAUAUAUUGAACCGCAUGGUUCAAUAGUGAAAGACGGUUUUGCUGUCACUUAUAGAUGGAUCCGCGCCGCAUUAGCUAGUUGGUAAGGUAACGGCUUACAAAGGCAACGAUGCGUAGCCGACCUAAGAGGGUGAUCGGCCACACUGGAACUGAGACACGGUCCAGACUCCUACGGGAGGCAGCAGUAGGGAAUCUUCCGCAAUGGGCGAAAGCUUGACGGAGCAACGCCGCGUGAGUGAUGAAGGUCUUCGGAUCGUAAAACUCUGUUAUUAGCGAAGAACAAAUGUGUAAGUAACUAUGCACGUCUUGACGGUACCUACUCAGAAAGCCAGGGCUAACUCCGUG